GCACCGGUAGCACAGUGGUAGUGCUGUGGAGGCUGUAGACUGUGGUUCGAUUCCACUCUGGUGUC
rnacentral:tRNA from 1 species